GAAAUGCGAUAAGUAGUGUGAAUUGCAGAAUUCAGUGAAUCAUCGAAUCUUUGAACGCACAUUGCGCCCUUUGGUAUUCCUUAGGGCAUGCCUGUUCGAGCGUCAUCUAAACCUUCAAGCCCUGCUUGGUGUUGGGUGCCUGUCCCUCCUCCGCGCGCGGACUCACCUCAAAUCCAUUGGCGGCCCCCGCGUCGGCCACGAGCGCAGCAGAAACGCGAACUCGUGAGCCCGUCCGGGCGGCUCCCAGAAGCUACACCCACCCAGUUUGACCUCGGAUCAGGUAGGGAUACCCGCUGAACUUAAGC
rnacentral:misc_RNA from 1 species